UACGAAGGGGGCGAGCGUUGUUCGGAAUCACUGGGCGUAAAGGGCGCGUAGGCGGCCCUCUUAGUCGCGUGUGAAAGCCCCGGGCUCAACCUGGGAACGGCGCGCGAAACGGGAGGGCUGGAGUUCGGGAGAGGAGAGUGGAAUUCCCAGUGUAGAGGUGAAAUUCGUAGAGAUGUGGAGGAACACCAGUGGCGAAGGCGACUCUUUGGCCUGUAACUGACACUGAGGCGCGAAAGCGUGGGGAGCAAACAGG
rnacentral:rRNA from 1 species